CAGCCGCCGCGGGAAUACGUAGGGUGCGAGCGUUAAUCGGAAUUACUGGGCGUAAAGCGUGCGCAGGCGGUUUUGUAAGACAGGCGUGAAAUCCCCGGGCUCAACCUGGGAAUGGCGCUUGUGACUGCAAAGCUAGAGUGCGGCAGAGGGGGAUGGAAUUCCGCGUGUAGCAGUGAAAUGCGUAGAGAUGUGGAGGAACACCGAUGGCGAAGGCAGCCCCCUGGGCCAAUACUGACGCCCAUGCACGAAAGCGUGGGGAGCAAACAGGAUUAGAUACCCCAGUAGUCCCUGUCUCUUAUAC
rnacentral:rRNA from 1 species